AUCAAUCUAAAACAGAAACUUUAAAUUCUACCCAAUAUUGUUUAUCAACAAUAUAAUAUUUUUAGAUUUUAAUUGGACUUCAUUCUAAUUUUAAACUCAAAAUGUGUGUGUUCUUGCAGGAGUGCGUGUGUGUGUGUUCUUGCAGGAGUGCGUGUGUGUGCGUGUGUUUUUGUGUGGGGUAUGAGUGCAUUUACUGUAUUAAUUUUAAGAGUAAUUAUGUGUUAAACGUGUGUGUACUCAUCAUGUGUGUGCAUGCUUGUAGGGGUGUGUGUGUGUGGUGUGUGUGUCUGUCUGUCAGUCAAGCUGCAUUCAGUGACUCGGGAUAUUAUUUUACUCGUACAAAGGCCUUGCUUUGUCCUUGUGCGUGGACAUAAAUCACCUUAAAAAAUAUGCUCCGCCAAAUGGCAUAAAAAUCAAUUUUUAAAAACGCCACAUGCUUUCAGAACACAGCAGAACAGAACCUAACCUGGGGAACCAACAAUGUCUGGAAAAUCGAUCAUUUGUGAACAGGCAUGUAAGUGUCUGGGAUAAUUUCUGCAUAUUGACAGUUGGGUCAAAAAUCUUCAGGGUUGCUCUAAUUGUUGGGAAGAAUAAUCUGUGCCUUAUACUCUUCUCUUUUCCAUCAGUCCGUCUCUUUCUUCGCCACUAAUCAUAGAGCUUCAGUUGGAGCUGGUGCUUUGUGGGGAGGAGCCUGCAACAACAGAGAUCUGGGCACACAGAGCAGCUUUAAUUAGAUGGGGCCUCGUGCCAUGUGCCAUCACGGCAUGUGUGAAAAUGAAUGUGUGCCUGUAUGUUGUGCAGCUUUGUCUUUAUGUGGGGAUGCUUUUUUGUAUCUAUGUCUGUUUAGCUUUUCCUUUCUUUUUUUACAUAAAAAUUAUUAUUAUUUGCACACUGAAUAGAAAGCAACUGCACAUUUCUUCAAUCUGGAGAAGACAUUUUUGCUAUGCUUGUGCCCAUGGACCUUAAACCUUAAUGUCCUCCCUGAGGCACCACCCUCGAGCGUCGGCCAACUGCUUUGGCAUCAGAUAAUGUAAAUGAAGGCAAACCAGUUUCUUUUGUAGUCAAACAGCCAGGAUCUUCUUUUAAUUUAAAAAUGUAUUUCGGUCAUUGCGGGGGGUGCUGUUUGAAGCCAUCACACUCCCAUAGAGCCACUCAGUGGGCAUUGCAGAUUGACCGUAGGGAUGGGCGCCAGACCGGAGAAAGGAAGACUGGAGCCAUUGCCAGUAUGAACUGGUUUGACAACUGGUGCAAUUGUGUUUUAAUUGGUGCAUCUUGCUGAUUGUUUGACAUGAAGGGUUUUUGAUAUACCCCAAACCAAUCAAUGGGUUUAGUGGACAAAGGGAGGUUUCCAAUUGGUUGAGAGGAUUUUAGGCGGGAUACAGGCAACCUGGUGACAUCAUAAAAUGAGAGGUCAGCACAUUUAAAGGAUGCUGAGAGCUGAAGGAUAAUUAGAAGAGCUCAAGCCAGAAGACUAACAUUUUUGUUCCUUGGAGUUAACAGUUGUUUGAUUUGUAUCACUUAGAAUAUGUUACGUGGCAUAGAGUUUUACUCAGUUUGUUAUUGGUGAAAUAAUACAAUUUUAAAAACUAUACAUAUAUGUUUGUUAACAUUUUUCCUAUCUGUCUUUAGGUGAGAUAUUGGCCCAUGUUUCUUGGCCUGUGGUUUAAGAGGAUGGGUAGCCUUAGGGGUUGAUUGUUAUCUUUGGUUAUCUAGCUGUAUGAGUGAUGUACAUUCUUCAUAAAGCUAGAUAACCGAAAGUAACAAGAAUCCCAUUACACUCCUGGAAAGGCAUCAAGACCCAAAGUGACUCCUUUCAUCAAAAAUUUUAAAAUACAUAAGAAGAAGUUUAACUUGAGAAAAAAUGGACUGCAUUUUAAAGGGGAAUGGAUCGUUCAUCAAAUAAAGGGUACCUUGCCACAUAGAGAAAAGAUGGCAAAAGAAGACUGAAAACAGAAGAGGAGGAGGGGUUGCUGUUGAUUGUGCCCUCCCUCUCUCAUCGCCCUCUUCUGCAUCGCCUCUUCCCACCUCCUCCUCUUCUCUUUCUCCUCCACUCGAUCCUCAGCAGACUGCCCCUUUUUCCUGUACAGCGAAAUGCAGCCCACGCCACCAUCUUAGAGCAACGCUGGCAUAAAAUGGAAGUGGAAAGACCAGUCACUGCAGAUAAACGUUGGUGGUCACGGGGUUCCAGAAUGGACAGAACACACAAUGGAGAGACGGCAGGACUCGUCUUUCACGGCUUGCUGCUAUUCAGCUGCUGUAAACAAGGAAGCUGCUGUCUGUGUGCAACUUGAUGGAUCUUGUUUCCAUGUCUGUGGAACACUUUGACCCACCUGGACGUUUUGUGAAGACCUUUUGGUGCUUUAGCUCCAAAAUCAUCAUUUUGAACUGUGACUGUGGAAGCCUUUGGACUAAGAAAGAUGAUGCAUAGCACUAUAAUGCUGCAGAUUUUUUUUAUUCUACGACUGAUUUUAUUUAUUUAUUUUUUGUAUGUUGUAUAUGUCUGUGCAUAAUAUUAUACAGGCAGGCAGUGCAUUUUAGGCUCUCCCUUAUCUAGGUUGCUUUCAAUUUGAGUUUUAGCCCUCGCUGAUGUUCAGUUUGAUGUUUUGUUUUAGUUGCUAGGACUCAAAAGACGCGUGAAUGUGAGACCCACGACAGCAGUGAAUAAUACUGCACUGCGAUUGGACAGCUCCGUGUGUCGGCUGACACAAUGGCGAAGGAGAGAGCUGUCGUCUUUAUACUCUAUGCAACUGUUCUGUCUGUUUUUUUUGGUUUUGUUUUGGGCAGAGCCUCGUUUAUCUACACUUUGGAUUUUUCUUUAUGGGCUAACAUUUAAUGGACAUUCCUUCAUACGUUAUCAAGAUAAAUUGUGCUUUAUCUAGAAGUGUAUGUUCCUAAUUUUGAAAUGUAAAAACUGGAAUUAGAGGAGGUGUGUGUCAUAUUUGAUUGCUAAUUAUAUUUUGAAGCCUGGAAAAAAAAACUUUGUGAAUAAAUGUGGAAUCAAAUAUAUAAUAUUCCUGAUGGCAGUAGUGUGUUUGAUCAGGAGGAAGUGAAACAUUGCUGCUGUGUAUGUUUCCUCUGAGGCACAUUAGUUUGCCUCAUAACAGUUACCUGCGCUGCUGUAAUGAUACAUCUUUGGGUAAGACAUGACAAAUACAUUGGCUUCAAACACUGCCUUAAUUUCCUGUUCACACACACAUGCACACACACAGAUCCCAGUGCAAUAACACAAGUACCAUUGCAGCUUAAUUCAUUUUAUAUCAAUUUUCGGGAAGUGGAUUAUUUUUUUUAUUAUGAUUGAUAAUCUAUGCAAAUCUUUUAAAGUAUUACUUUAAACAAUCUAUGCACUGCUCUUCUGCUCUUGCAUUUGAUUCAGGGGAGACUGUCUUGGCCUAAUUUAGAAAAUGUAUUCUUUUGAUAAUCAUGCACAUCCCAGUGCUCGAGACAAUUACUUAUCUGCCUGGAUAAGCUUGAAAUUAUGUUUUUAAUCUUUUGCAAAAAAAGUCUCUCUUCUGAUAUCAGUUGAGAGGCAUAAAAACCAUGAUUUCUGGUGUGAAAUAAUUAAAUCAGUACCACUUAAUAUCCUUGCUUUUUUUUUUAAAACAUGCAAAUGUAAUUUAUCUGUUUAGCUUUGCCUGCUUAUUAGCUUCUUUUUUUUUAGAAGAUGUAUGUUUGUUUUAUGCAACUUGUGUAUAAGUGCUCACCACAUGUGCCUUUGUAUGCAAAUCUGUAUUAGAAUAGUAAUAAAGGUUUACAUUGAAAACAAUGAAAAAAUG